rnacentral:rRNA from 1 species
GACGAACCGAGCGAACGUUGUUCGGAAUCACUGGGCUUAAAGGGCGCGUAGGCGGGCUGCCGCGUCCGGGGUGAAAUCCUCCGGCUCAACCGGAGAACGGCCCCGGGUACGGGCGGCCUCGAGGGGGGUAGGGGCGUGCGGAACUGUGGGUGGAGCGGUGAAAUGCGCAGAUAUCAGGAGGAACACCGAUUGCGAAGGCAGCUCGCUGGGACGUAACUGACGCUGAGACGCGAAAGCGUGGGGAGCAAACAGG